UUAAAACGCCCGUAGUUUACCUAAGGGGUUUGAUCACUCAUCUGUCCAGGAGAUGUCUUUGUUGUGGUGUCAUUCGUGCCACUGCGCUUAGGCUAUUCUGGGCCUUGGCUCUUACCGCUGGUCAAUUUUUUUGACCAGCGUCAAAGGGUAGGUGGGUGCUUCCGGCCUCGAUCCUCUCCAUUUUCUAUGGGGGGGCCUCUGGAACAACCGUAAACAAAUCAGCGUGUUCAAAGCAGGCUAUGUAUGGGUUUUACCCUUUGCUUGAAUGAUUUAGCAUGGAAUUGUACUGAAGUUGGCGAGGUGUUUCACCAAGCCAGCGGUUGUAAUGAGACACUGGAAGAGGCUCCAAGUACUAUGGCGCGAGAGGUGAAAUUCAGUGACCGCCAUAUGACUAUCUAAUGCGAAAGCAGUUGUAGCCAGUACGUGUCUGUCAAUCAGGGACGAAAGUUGAGGGAUCGAAGAUGAUUAGAUACCGUCGUAGUCUCAACCGUAAACGAUACCAACACGAGAUUGGUAGUGAAACCAUAAUUAGAUCCUAUCAGCAUCCAAGGGAAACCGUUAAGUCUUUGGGUUCUGGGGGGAGUAUGGUCGCAAGGCUGAAACUUAAAGGAAUUGACGGAA
rnacentral:rRNA from 1 species